rnacentral:rRNA from 1 species
UUGCAUAUCAAUAAGCGGAGGAAAAGAAACCACCAGGGAUUGCCUUAGUAACGGCGAGUGAAGCGGCAAAAGCUCAAUUUGAAAACGCUUCGGCGUGUUGUAAGUAAAGUGGUUAGACGCUUUUUAAUAAGUCCCUUGGAACAGGGCGCCAUAGAGGGUGAUAGCCCCGUAUUAAAUUGUCUAGUGUGCUACUUUAGAGCGAGUCGAGUUGUUUGGGAAUGCAGCUCAAAUAGGUGGUAAACUCCAUCUAAAGCUAAAUAUUGCUGGGAGACCGAUAGCGAACAAGUACAGUGAUGGAAAGAUGAAAAGCACUUUGAAAAGAGAGUGAAAUAGCGUGUGAAAUUGUUGGAGGGGAAGGCGAUGGUAGGAAUAAGAGGCUGCGGUUUGAAAUAAUUGUUUUUUCGGGCCACGGUCUCCUGAGCCUGCUUUCGCACCCGUCUUGAAACACGGACCA